CGAGGAAUAUUGGUCAAUGGGCGCAAGCCUGAACCAGCCAUCCCGCGUGCAGGAAGACGGCCCUAUGGGUUGUAAACUGCUUUUCCAGGGAGAGAAACCUGCGCACGUGUUGCGCAAUUGACGGUACCCUGGGAAUAAGCAUCGGCUAACUCCGUGCCAGCAGCCGCGGUAAUACGGAGGAUGCAAGCGUUAUCCGGAUUCAUUGGGUUUAAGGGGUGCGCAGGCGGACUAUUAAGUCAGUGGUGAAAGCCUGCAGCUUGACUGCAGAACUGCCAUUGAUACUGAUAGUCUUGAGUUUGGUUAAGGUAGGCGGAAUGUGUAAUGUAGCGGUGAAAUGCUUAGAUAUUACACAGAACACCAAUUGCGUAGGCAGCUUACUGAGCCGACACUGACGCUGAGGCACGAAAGCGUGGGGAUCGAACAG
rnacentral:rRNA from 1 species